GUAAUGUCUGGGAAACUGCCUGAUGGAGGGGGAUAACUACUGGAAACGGUAGCUAAUACCGCAUAACGUCGCAAGACCAAAGAGGGGGACCUUAGGGCCUCUUGCCAUCGGAUGUGCCCAGAUGGGAUUAGCUAGUAGGUGGGGUAAUGGCUCACCUAGGCGACGAUCCCUAGCUGGUCUGAGAGGAUGACCAGCCACACUGGAACUGAGACACGGUCCAG
rnacentral:rRNA from 1 species